rnacentral:rRNA from 1 species
AGAGUUUGAUCAUGGCUCAGAUUGAACGCUGGCGGCAUGCCUAACACAUGCAAGUCGAACGGCAGCACAGAGGAGCUUGCUCCUUGGGUGGCGAGUGGCGGACGGGUGAGUAAUGCAUCGGGAUCUACCCAGACGUGGGGGAUAACCUCGGGAAACCGGGACUAAUACCGCAUACGUCCUACGGGAGAAAGCGGGGGACCUUUUAGGCCUCGCGCGGCUGGACGAACCGAUGUGCGAUUAGCUAGUUGGUGGGGUAAUGGCCUACCAAGGCGACGAUCGCUAGCUGGUCUGAGAGGAUGAUCAGCCACACUGGGACUGAGACACGGCCCAGACUCCUACGGGAGGCAGCAGUGGGGAAUAUUGGACAAUGGGCGCAAGCCCGAUCCAGCAAUGCCGCGUGUGUGAAGAAGGCCUUCGGGUUGUAAAGCACUUUUAUCAGGAACGAAAUCUGCAUGCUUAAUACGUGUGCAGUCUGACGGUACCUGAGGAAUAAGCACCGGCUAACUUCGUGCCAGCAGCCGCGGUAAUACGAAGGGUGCAAGCGUUAAUCGGAAUUACUGGGCGUAAAGGGUGCGUAGGCGGUUGCUUAAGUCUGUCGUGAAAUCCCCGGGCUCAACCUGGGAAUGGC